rnacentral:rRNA from 1 species
UAACGACUCUCGGCAACGGAUAUCUCGGCUCUCGCAUCGAUGAAGAACGUAGCGAACUGCGAUACUUGGUGUGAAUUGCAGAAUCCCGUGAACCAUCGAGUCUUUGAACGCAAGUUGCGCCCGAAUCCAUUUUGGACGAGGGCACGUUUGCCUGGGUGUCA